UACGUACCGUCCAAACGUUAUUCGGAAUUACUGGGCUUAAAGGGUUUGUAGGUGGCGCUGUUAGUCGGGUGUGAAAUCCCAGGGCUCAACCCUGGAACUGCGCCCCGAUACUGCAGUGCUUGAGGGAGACAGAGGUAAGCGGAACUGAUGGUGGAGCGGUGAAAUGCGUUGAUAUCAUCAGGAACACCGGUGGCGAAAGCGGCUUACUGGUCCGGUACUGACGCUGAGGUGCGAAAGCGUGGGGGAGCAAACAGG
rnacentral:rRNA from 1 species